GCUUAGAGAGGAGUCAAUGUCCUAUCAGCUAGUUGGUAGGGUAAUGGCUUACCAAGGCUAAGACGGGUAGCCGGCCUGAGAGGGUGGUCGGCCACACUGGGACUGAGACACUGCCCAGACUCCUACGGGAGGCUGCAGUCGAGAAUCUUUCGCAAUGCCCGAAAGGGUGACGAAGCGACGCCGCGUGUGGGAAGAAGGCCUUCGGGUUGUAAACCACUGUCGGGAGUUAAGAAAUGUAAGGGUGUUAAUAGCAUCCUUGCUUGACUAAGGCUCCGGAGGAAGCCACGGCUAACUCUGUGCCAGCAGCCGCGGUAAUACAGAGGCGGCAAGCGUUGUUCGGAAUUAUUGGGCGUAAAGAGCACGUAGGCGGCUUUGUAAGUCAGUUGUGAAAGCCUUCCGCUUAACGGAAGAACAGCAUCUGAUACUGCAAGGCUAGAGUGCGGAAGGG
rnacentral:rRNA from 1 species